rnacentral:rRNA from 1 species
CUCCCAACCCCUGUGAACAUACCUUAAUGUUGCCUCGGCGGAUCAGCCCGCGCCCCGUAAAACGGGACGGCCCGCCAGAGGACCCAAACUCUAAUGUUUCUUAUUGUAACUUCUGAGUAAAACAAACAAAUAAAUCAAAACUUUCAACAACGGAUCUCUUGGUUCUGGCAUCGAUGAAGAACGCAGCAAAAUGCGAUAAGUAAUGUGAAUUGCAGAAUUCAGUGAAUCAUCGAAUCUUUGAACGCACAUUGCGCCCGCUGGUAUUCCGGCGGGCAUGCCUGUUCGAGCGUCAUUUCAACCCUCAAGCCCCCGGGUUGGUGUUGGGGAUCAGCUCUGCCCUUCUGGGCGGCGCCGCCCCCGAAAUACAUCGGCGGUCUCGCUGCAGCCUCCAUUGCGUAGUAGCUAACACCUCGCAACUGGAACGCGGCGCGGCCAUGCCGUAAAACCCCAACUUCUGAAUGUUGACCUCGGAUCAGGUAGGAAUACCCGCUGAACUUAAGCAUAUCAAUAAGCGGAGGAAAAGAAACCAACAGGGAUUGCCCUAGUAACGGCGAGUGAAGCGGCAACAGCUCAAAUUUGAAAUCUGGCUUUCGGGCCCGAGUUGUAAUUUGUAGAGGAUACUUUUGAUGCGGUGCCUUCCGAGUUCCCUGGAUCGGGACGCCAUAGAGGGUGAGAGCCCCGUCUGGUUGGAUGCCAAAUCUCUGUAAAGUUCCUUCGACGAGUCGAGUAGUUUGGGAAUGCUGCUCUAAAUGGGAGGUAUAUGUCUUCUAAAGCUAAAUAUUGGCCAGAGACCGAUAGCGCACAAGUAGAGUGAUCGAAAGAUGAAAAGCACUUUGAAAAGAGAGUUAAAAAGUACGUGAAAUUGUUGAAAGGGAAGCGUUUAUGACCAGACUUGGACUUGGUUAAUCAUCUGGGGUUCUCCCCAGUGCACUUUUCCAGUUCAGGCCA